AUGGCCUUUACCCGAGCUAACGGGGUGGCCCGACUGCUGGUGAGUGUUCUGGAUAUUGAGUUCGUGCCUGAUGUGGUUAAGUGGACAUAUAGGGGCCAGAUAUUCAACCUCGAGAUUGAGUUUGAGGAUACCGAUCUUUUCGCCGAGGCUCUCGCUGGGACUGAUGUAGACAUGCACAAGGGAGAUGAUAGUUCGGGUGCUAAGGAGGCGCCAGUGGAUGAUGUUGGACGAGAGUUGUCCAACGGUUGGGGGUCCGUUUCUCAGACGCCCGGGGACGGGACGGCACCAUCCUCUUCGGUGCCAAUGAACACUGAGAUUUGGGUUGUUUGA
rnacentral:rRNA from 1 species